UGACCCUGAAGGCAAAUGAGGCCAGGGACAGGUCAGGUGGGCUCUGAGGCCCCCUGGGGGCAGAGCCCUGGCCCCAAGCCAUGCUGGCCCCUGCUGCUGCUGGGCUUGGCUGUGGGUGCCCAUGGUCGGCUGCCCCCAGUGACAGUAGCCCCACCGAACAGCACCCCAGACCCUGGAGCCCCAGCAGGAAGCAGCUCUCGGAGCCUGUGGGACAGGUUCCUGUUCUGGCCUGGCCCCCGGGGGGCAGGCCCCAGGUGCUGGCCCGGUGGGUUUUGGCCCGAAACUCAGUCACCCUGGUUUGUUUUCAGUGAAGGAACCCAGCUCACCGUCCUAGGUCAGCCCAAGUCUGCGCCCUUGGUCAUGCUCUUCCUGUCAUUCUCUGAGGAACUCGGCGCCAACAAAGCCACCCUGGUAUGCCUCAUCAGUGACUUCUACCCCAGCAGCUUGAAGGUGGCCUGGAAGGUAGACAGCAGCAAUGUCACCCAGGGCGUGGAGACCACCAAGCCCUCCAUACAGAGCAACAACAAGUACGCGGCCAGCAGCUACCUGAGCCUGUCGCCUGACAAGUGGAAAUCAUACAGCAGCGUCAGCUGCCUGGUCACGCACGAGGGGAGCACCGUGGAGAAGAAGGUGGUCCCCGCAGAGUGCUCUUAGGUCCCCGACACCCAAGGGGGCCUGGAGGCACAGGACCUCCAGGAGGACCUGCCCUCCCACCAGGGUCAUCCCAGCGCUUCUCCCUGCACCCGCUCGACACUCAAUAAAAUGUCCUUUAUUCAAUCAG